GUGGAAGGGCGGCGGCUACCAUGCAAGUCGAGCGGUAACAGAUCCAGCUUGCUGGAUGCUGACGAGCGGCGGACGGGUGAGUAAUGCAUAGGAAUCUGCCCGAUAGUGGGGGAUAACCUGGGGAAACCCAGGCUAAUACCGCAUACGUCCUACGGGAGAAAGGGGGCUUCGGCUCCCGCUAUCGGAUGAGCCUAUGUCGGAUUAGCUAGUUGGUGAGGUAACGGCUCACCAAGGCCACGAUCCGUAGCUGGUCUGAGAGGAUGAUCAGCCACAUCGGGACUGAGACACGGCCCGAACUCCUACGGGAGGCAGCAGUGGGGAAUAUUGGACAAUGGGGGGAACCCUGAUCCAGCCAUGCCGCGUGUGUGAAGAAGGCCCUCGGGUUGUAAAGCACUUUCAGCGAGGAAGAACGCCUAGCGGUUAAUACCCGCUAGGAAAGACAUCACUCGCAGAAGAAGCACCGGCUAACUCCGUGCCAGCAGCCGCGGUAAUACGGAGGGUGCAAGCGUUAAUCGGAAUUACUGGGCGUAAAGCGCGCGUAGGUGGCUUGAUAAGCCGGUUGUGAAAGCCCCGGGCUCAACCUGGGAACGGCAUCCGGAACUGUCAAGCUAGAGUGCAGGAGAGGAAGGUAGAAUUCCCGGUGUAGCGGUGAAAUGCGUAGAGAUCGGGAGGAAUACCAGUGGCGAAGGCGGCCUUCUGGACUGACACUGACACUGAGGUGCGAAAGCGUGGGUAGCAAACAGGAUUAGAUACCUUUGUUAGUC
rnacentral:rRNA from 1 species